rnacentral:rRNA from 1 species
CCUACGGGGGGCAGCAGUGAGGAAUAGUGGUCAAUGGCCGUAAGGCUGAACCAGCCAAGUCGCGUGAAGGAAGAAGGAUCUAUGGUUUGUAAACUUCUUUUAUAGGGGAAUAAAGGGAUCCACGUGUGGAUAUUUGCAUGUACCCUAUGAAUAAGCAUCGGCUAACUCCGUGCCAGCAGCCGCGGUAAUACGGAGGAUGCGAGCGUUCUCCGGAUUUAUUGGGUUGAAAGGGUGCGUAGGUUUUUUUUUAAGUCAGCGGUGAAAGUUUGUGGCUCAACCAUACAAUUGCCGUUGAAACUGGCAGACUUGCGUGUGUUUGCGGUCGGCGGAUUGCGUGGUGUAGCGG